GGGACGGGGGAGCCUGGUGGGCUGCCGUCUAUGGGAUCGCACAGAGUCGGACACGACUGACGUGACUUAGCAGCAGCAGCAGCAGUUCAAUGAAGGGAAAAAAUGGAACCCCAGAGACCUCACUCUGUCUGACCUGCACCUCCACAGGCUUUAAUCAAUUCAGACAUGAAGUCUGCCACUUGCAAAAGUCCUGAGGAUACAGCAAUCAGCCCUCACUGGAGAUGCAAGACAUAGCAAAAGACUGAGGAAAUAAGCCAAGAAUUAAUCCUCCAAGUGAGACACAUGGCAUUUCUUCUUUCUCUUCUGGUUUUUGCCGCAGACUCAGUCCAGUUUCCUGAGUUACCCUCUGCUUUUUUUGGACUUGAUAACUCACAGAAGAUAAAACUCCCAGUUUGAAAGAUAAUGGAUCACCAAUUAUAGACGUGUCCUACCUGGCCUGCUAUUGAUGACAGUUACUUUUAUUGUAUUUAAUGUUUCAUGAUAGUUGCAGAAAGUCUG